UGGAUCAUAGUGAUCUCCCUUUUAAGGUUUGAUGGAAUGAUAUACUUCCGAUGAAACAGGAAACAAGCUUGAAUCUGAAAUGAGAAGAUUUUUCAGGAUUUAACUCUUGAUCCGAAAGAACCAGUGGAAAUUCAAAUUAUGAAGAUUUACUUGAAUGUUCUCUGUUUUUUCAUGGUUGGGAGAAACAAGUAUUUGGGAGUAAGCAUCGUGAAAGAAAUUGAAAACUCUGCUGAUUGCUGUGGCAAGUUAUUUACAUGCAGAUUCUGCCAUGACAAACCCAGUGAGAUUUAAUGGAUAUGAAAGCUACGGCUGAAAUAUUGCGUAUGCAAUGCUUGAAAUUUCAUCCUGUUGGACCAGUUUGCUCAAUUUCUUCCUGUGGUGGACUAUCGAUAGCAGAGUGCUAUUGCAGUAUUUGCAAUUUUUUGGAUGAUAAAAGAACAAAGAUGUAACUGAUGCAAUUCAGAAGGUUGCUGCUGCUUAUGGCUGCAAAAUUGUUGAAUGUGUUUUUGUCCAUCAGCUGAAGCAGUUUGACAGGAACUACCACUUGAAGAUGAAAGCAUCUAGGUUUAUAUUCAGUGAAAUAAAUCAGAAAUUUCAACCCAUGCCAUUCACAGCUAGGAGAUUAUGUUGCUCACAUCAAAUUCACAGUUUUGCUAAUGUCAAAUGGUUCGAAUAGAGUCACAUCUCAUCCUCUGUAGGAGCUGCAGCCCACAAAGACAACAGAUGAACCCGAAAUCAAGGCCUUGUUAGCCUUGGGCACAAAUAAAAAGAAGAAAGGUAAAAUGGGUGACAAAGCUGAGGAGUCAACAGAAGCCGAGCCUAUGGAUGCAACAACAAAUGGUGCUGCUUCCCAUCCCUAGAUUGAGUCCUUUUUAUUUUUUUUGUUCUGUUUCAUUUUUCAACCCCCAAGUGAAAUUUGGUACUUUGUUCAACCCAGUGUAUCAGGUUGGAUUGAGUUGGAUUGUUAUAGUGUUUAGACAUUGAUCAUUUGAUCCU